CCACCCGUAGCUCAGCGGACCAGAGCGUCUGACUACGGAUCAGAAGGUCGUGGGUUCAAAUCCCAUCGGGUGGU
rnacentral:tRNA from 2 species